AUUGAACGCUGGCGGCAUGCCUUACACAUGCAAGUCGAACGGCAGCACGGGAGCAAUCCUGGUGGCGAGUGGCGAACGGGUGAGUAAUAUAUCGGAACGUGCCCAGUAGUGGGGGAUAACUGCUCGAAAGAGCAGCUAAUACCGCAUACGACCUGAGGGUGAAAGGGGGGGAUCGCAAGACCUCUCGCUAUUGGAGCGGCCGAUAUCAGAUUAGCUAGUUGGUGGGGUAAAGGCCUACCAAGGCAACGAUCUGUAGUUGGUCUGAGAGGACGACCAGCCACACUGGGACCGAGACACGGCCCAGACUCCUACGGGAGGCAGCAGUGGGGAAUUUUGGACAAUGGGCGCAAGCCUGAUCCAGCAAUGCCGCGUGCAGGAAGAAGGCCUUCGGGUUGUAAACUACUUUUGUCAGGGAAGAAAUCCUCUAGGUUAAUACCCUUGGGGGGAUGACGGUACCUGAAGAAUAAGCACCGGCUAACUACGUGCCAGCAGCCGCCGUAAAAC
rnacentral:rRNA from 1 species